CACUAUUAUAUCUAUUCUAACCCUACAAGGGAUAUACGCCGAAGGAAGAUACUUAUGCUUGAGGAUGGAAUGAUGCUGCCCACAUUCAUUGUUGGCUUGUCUUUUAAGAAAUAGUCUUGGAAUUCCUGUAUUAGACACUGUUCCACUGCUGAGAAUGUAACAGAAGAUAGACAUGAAGGGACUCUCUCCCUCAUGAAACUGCUCUACUGGAGGAAUAUAUUCAACUACAAUGAGUUUAAUACAGCGAUUAGACUGGGUCAACUCGUCUACAUUGUCAGAAACCAUGUUUUAUGCAGGUUUCUAUUCUGACAAGCACAAAACCCUGCACCAAGUUGAACCUGUUCUUUGUGAUGAGGCUGUUGAACAGAAGAGCAGCAUAGCAGUCUGUCUAUUCUUGCUCCACAUACAGCUAAAUGCCAACUCCGAUCCCUUUGAGAUGGUGAGCAGACUGAACUCAGGGAGAGUGUCAUCUCUCAGUAUCCAAGCUUCUUCAGAGAACCAUGUGGUGAAAGUUCUUGAUUAAGGUCAUACCCUUAGUCCCUGGCAUCAUUUUUUUAUAAGCUAAAGAUAACUGUCUAAAAUCCAUAUAUAUAAGUGUAGCAGUAGAUAAAAAUACUCAAAGCUUGUGUCUACAAAUCAUCAAAAUCAAAAGAAAUAAUAUU